CUCUAUUCCUAGUAAUUAUGGAGUAUGAGUCAUGUCGAAUUGAUAAAGUUUCACGCUCUUACGUUACGAUUCUCAACCUUUACCAUGACUUGGAAUCGACUAUAAAAAAUCAUAAAAGAUUUUUUUUUUAAUUUUUAUAUUUAAAUCUAUAAAAAUAGACAUAUAGACAUGAAAAAUGAAAGAAGUAUAUUUCACUUUCUUGAAAUAUAACAAAACAAGCUCUAUUCUCAAGAAUUAUGGAGUAUGAGUGAUGUCGAAUUGACAAAAUUUCAUGCUUUUUGUUUCCUUUACCCUGACUUGGAAUCGACUAUAAAAAAAGUUCAACGGAAAUAUUUUAAUAUCUAAAACGAUAGACAUGUAAAAGAAAGAAGUAUUAAUUUCUCACUUUCUUGAUGUGGGCAGCAAUGGAUUUGCAGUCCAUAACAUCAUAGAGAUCCAGAGCUUGAGAAGCAGAAGCCAUAGCUUGCAUCUGCAUCUUCAAUGGCAUAUCAGUAUCUUCUAUCAAAGCUUUUCCUUCCAACAUUUUUCUCUUCAAAUUAAAUCCCACUUCUACUUCAAGAUUUCUGAUAAACCCCAGAUUUUUAUAUGCCUGUACUCAGUAGUAAUCCGGUUUCUGUAGGUAUAUGUGUAUAUAUAGGUGGCUUCCAAGUGUGAAUGAGCUAUUUGCUGUUAAUUCUGGUGGUGGCACAUAGUCCAAUUUGUUUCUGUAGUCUUAUUUUUUUUCCCUCUCUUUAAGGGGGGCUUUUAACUUUAUUCUACGUUUGGCACUGAUCAUCUUAAGUGGAUAAAGAUGUUGUGGAUAAAGAUGGUGAGGCCUAAAAAUAAUCCCAAGAUAUAUAUGAAUUUUAGUCUAUAGUUAAUUUGCUACAUUGUUGAAGUUUUAGAUUCAAAGAAAUAAU
rnacentral:lncRNA from 1 species